UACGGGGGGGGCAAGCGUUGUUCGGAAUUACUGGGCGUAAAGGGCUCGUAGGCGGCCAACUAAGUCAGACGUGAAAUCCCUCGGCUUAACCGGGGAACUGCAUCUGAUACUGGAUGGCUUGAGUUCGGGAGAGGGAUGCGGAAUUCCAGGUGUAGCGGUGAAAUGCGUAGAGAUCGGAAGGAACACCAGUGGCGAAGGCGGCUACCUGGCCUAAUACUGACACUGAGGCACGAAAGCGUGGGGAGCAAACAGG
rnacentral:rRNA from 1 species